GGUCCCACAAUGGACCAUCUGCAAGCUGAGGAGCAAGGAAGCCAGUCUGAGUCCCAAAUCUGAAGAACUUGGAGUCUGAUGUUUGAGGGUAAGAAGCAUCCAGCACAGGAGAAAGAUGUAGGCUGGGAGGCUAAGCCAGUUUAGUGUUUUCAUGUUCUUCUGCCUGCUUUUUUUUCUGGCCAUGCUGGUAGCUGAUUAGAUAGUGCCCACCCAGAUUAAGGGGGGGGGUCUGCCUUACCCAGUCCACUGACUCAAAUGUUAAUCUCCUUUAGAAACACCCUCACAGACACACCCAGGAUCAAUACUUUGCAUCCUUCAAUCCAAUCAAGUUGACAUUCAGUAUUAAACAUCACAAGGUUUGUUGAUUUUGUUUAUCUUUUCAAAAAACCAAUUUUUUGUUUUAUUAAUCUCUUGUGUUUUUAAAAAUUUCAAUCUCAGUUGUAUUUGCCCUGAUCUUUCUUAUUUCUUUUCUUCUACUAAUAUUGAGUUCAGUUUGCUCGUUUUUCCAGUUCUUUAAGAUUCAUCAUUAGGUGCACAUUAAGUUUUUCUGCUUUCUUGAUGUAGGUGCUUCUUGCUAUAAACUUUCUUCUUAGGACUGCUUUUGCUGUAUUCCAUAGGUGUAUGUGAUACUUUCAUUUGUUUUAAGAGAUUUUUAAGAAUUAUCUUGUUAAUUUUUUCAUUAACUCACUGGUCAUUCAGGACCAUAUUAUUUAAUUUCCAUGUGUUUUAUGGAAAUACUUGUGCAUGUUCAUUGAUAUUUGGGAACUGAAGAUUUAUUCUAAUCAUCACAUUCUGGGCUUGUUUGGACUUGUCCUUGUUGAGAAGGCUUUUCAUGUAUUCAAAGAGAAUUGAGUGUUGUGAUCUAAGUCUUUGGUCACUACAUCCGUAUCCACACUAGGGGUUGCUCCAAGCCCAGUACCUUAGUAAUUCUUACAGACUCCUAGAGGUGCUGCCUUGGUGGGCUUGAAUAAGAUCUAGAAAAAUUAUCUGGAUUACCAGGCAAAGUCUGUCAUUAUCUUUCCUCACUUUCCCCAAACAGAAAGAGUCUCUCCCUCUGUGCUGGGCUGACUGGAGCUGGGGGAGAGGUGAUGUGAGCAGUCCCUUGGACAUCAUAGCGGGGACUAUGCUGGGUCACACCUGAGGCCAGCACAGCACUGGGUCUCACCCAAAGCUUGUGGCAACUACUGCCGAGCUACAGCGGAUGCUGAUUUAAGGCUUAAGGGACGAUUGAUCAGCAAGUGGGGAAUGCUGCCAGUACCGGGUCCUUACCUUGAGAGUAGCAGGUUCCCUUCUGGCCCAAGCAGGUUUAGAAAUGCUGUCCAGGAGCCGGGCCCUAGAAUCAGAGGCUUUAAGAAUCUGCUUUGUGGUUUAUUUUACUGUGACUGAGCUGGCACCCAAGUUGCAAGACAAAGUCCUCUGUAUUCCUCCCUCUCCUUUCUGCAAGUGGAAAAAGUUUUUCCUGGAGCUGAAAGCUGCGCUGCCUGGAGUUGGGGGAGAGGUUGACACAAACAAUCCCUUAGCCACCACAGCUGGUGUUUCACUGGGUUGUAGGUAAAUCAAGCCUAGUGGCUUCAAGCUCAGCACAGCACCAGGAAUGUCCUUGUGAAACCCUUGUGGCCUGAUUGCCUUUUUUUUUUUUUUUUUUUUGAGAUGGAGCCUCUCUCUGUUGCCCAGGCCUGAGUGCAGGGGCGCGAUCUCAGCUCACUGCCAGCUCCGCCUCCCGGGUUCACACCAUUCUCCUGCCUCAGCCUCCUGAGUAGCUGGGACUACAGGCGCCCGCCACCAAGCCCGGCUAAUUUUUUGUAUUUUUAGUAGAGACGGGGUUUCACCGUGUUAGCCAGGAUGGUCUUGAUCUCCUGACCUCGUGAUCCGCCCGCCUCGGCCUCCCAAAGUGCUGGGAUUACAGGCGUGAGCCGCUGCGCCCGGCCCUGAUUGCCUUUUAAAUUUAUCCUGGGCCCCAGGCCCCUGUAGUCAGCUGGUAGCAGAGCUAGCUGGGUCUCAAACUCCUACCACUGGGACACAGCGUUCCUCUCUGGCUGGGGUUGGUGUUUCCUUCAGAAUUCAGCUAAGUGAGCACUGGCUUGUGUUGUGUUCCGUUGUGACAAGGCAGCCCUGAGUUCCAAUGCAAAGUUCCACAGUCACUCUGUUCUCCCUCCCCCAGGCACACAGAUUCUCCCUCCACUUGCUGCUGCUGGAGGGUAAGGGAGAAGUGCUGUAUACAGGGCAGGCCUGCCUUUCCUAACCCCAUCGGUGCCUCUUUCCUUGAUAUGAUGUCAGAAUCAGAUUAGCUCUUUGGAACUGAGAGAUGAGAUGAGGCCUGGAAAACUUCCCCCAGUACAGUCAAGUUCCUGUUGACUAAUUCUGUGACCACCAGUGACAGUCUUUGAGUCCGUGAGGCAGAGUUGCGGCAGCACAGGCUUUGCUUGGAGUUGGAUGGUUCGCACCCUGCUUGGCAUGGUUUCUAAGAGACAUCCUCUGAGUGGAUGAGGGGAGAAUCCAGCAGGCCUCUAGUCACACUGGAGAAAAACAAGGAGAGAAAAAUCUAAACCCAGCAGAAGAGAAAGUUUAAGAAAGCGGUCGUCGCCAAUACCAAAAUUAGCUAUGAUAUUCAGGAAGAAAAAAAUGGAAACACGAUAACCACAGUCAAUAAAGACCAAGGCCACAUUCCAUUGACCAGAGCUCAGCCACGCGCCACACCUGGCUAAAGAGACUCUGGCUGAAGAAUUCCCUGAAUAUUUUAAUGUAGCUCUAGGUUAUAACACAGAACAACCACAAGGUGGCAGAAGAACUCCAUUCUUGUAAAUCUCUUAGUUGCUUCUUUAUUUCAUCUUCCCUAUUCCAUCUAAUGUUCCCUGAAUUUUACUAUUUUGUUGGUUUGAAAAUAUGUGUGACUUACGUCCUUUAAAGGAUUUGGUUCGUAAGGUUUUGAAUAGACUGGAAUAUAAAACAUUUAUAGAAAAGAAAAAUACCUACAGUAUGAUGUUAGUGAACUAUUAAUAAUCCAAUUAAAUAAAAUAUAUUUGCUUUGGAUUAAUACAUAUUUUGUUUUGAUGUUUGCUAAAUAAAACUAAGCAUUAGGAGGCCAAAUAGCCACAAUGAACAUUUUCAUAUUAUUUAAUAAGCCAGUUUCAAGGCAUACAUGCUAAAUUUGUUCUUAAGGAAAAGUUGAAUUUUUGCUUUCAUGAAAUUACAAACUCUAAGGCAAUUUUACACGUGUAAAUCCAAUGUGUUCUGAAGUUUAAAGUGUCAAAGGCUGUUGGAUUUAAACAGAUCUUGUAUGACUCUCUGUUUCAUCUCUUCAGAGGUUGAUAGUAAGCAACUUUGGC
rnacentral:lncRNA from 1 species